rnacentral:rRNA from 1 species
AAACGUAGGUGGCGAGCGUUAUCCGGAUUCAUUGGGCGUAAAGAGCUUGUAGGUGGCGGCGUAAGUUGGACGUGAAAUCGCCCGGCUCAACCGGGCGGGGUCGUUCAAUACUGCGCGGCUGGAGGAGGUCAGAGGGAAGUGGAAUUCCUGGUGUAGCAGUGAAAUGCGUAGAUAUCAGGAGGAACACCCCGUGGCGAAGGCGGCUUCCUGGGGCCAUCCUGACACUGAGAAGCGAAAGCUAGGGGAGCGAACGGGG